GGGAUGUACACCUGCUCAGAGUACAUACUUCUUUAUGUACCCAUAUGAACAUAAAAAGCUAUGGAAUGUAAAGAAGUAUGUAUUUUUGGCAGGCGCCGACCC